CAGACCAGCCACAGAUCGGCGGCUCCUCCAUUGCAAAUUUGCAAACCCUACUAGACAACGGCGGCGGCGGCGGCGGCGGGAGACUGGGACGAUCGUGCUCUAGGUCAUCGGCGGCGGCAACACGGCGAGUGGACCCGGUGGUAGCCGUUGGCUCCGGGGGGAGCUUGUGUGCCUUCAUGUCCUGCAGUACGGAUGGCGGGAUUCAGAAGUCUUGCACCCAAGACCAGGAACCUGGUGGUGGCUGGGGGACUGUCUGCUUUCGUCCUCGGGGUCUACUACUACACCAUGAGAGCAGUGGGAGGCACGGAUGAGCUGCAGGUCGCAAUCGACAAGUUUGAGGAGAUGAAGAAGAAGGAUGCGGGAAACUCCUCCAACGCAGGAUCCUAAACGCAUGCUUCAGACUCUGCACCCUUCUUCUGUGUACUGAACUUGGAUCUGCUUACAUGACAGUUAAGUUCGCCCAAGACCAUGCUUCUAUGUAAUAAUUAAUGGGUGGUACUCCUAUUAGAUAGGUCGAGCUUCUGCUUUGAUGAAAGCUGUAUGUAUUUGUUUUCAUUCCAAGUAGUGGUUGCAAUGUCUGAAAUUUCCUGAACAACGAUACUAGUAUAUGGCAUGGAGAGACAUACAUGAACCAUAAAUUUUGUAUUUGCUUGGAUGGAUGAUUGGCCUGUUGCUCCAGCUCUCUGCUGUUGUGGUGACUGGUGGCCACACAUUGCACUGCAUAUUUGUUGCUA